rnacentral:rRNA from 1 species
UACAGAGGGGGCAAGCGUUGUUCGGAAUUACUGGGCGUAAAGGGCGCGUAGGCGGCGUGACAAGUCACUUGUGAAAUCUCCGGGCUUAACUCGGAACGGUCAAGUGAUACUGUCGUGCUAGAGUACAGAAGGGGCAACUGGAAUUCUCGGUGUAGCGGUGAAAUGCGUAGAUAUCGAGAGGAACACCUGCGGCGAAGGCGCCUUCUGGACGGCGACUGACGCUGAGACGCGAAAGCGUGGGGAGCAAACAGG